UUCCCAGAAGUAAGUCGAAUCGAACUCACAGUGUUCCGCUUACCGGGCAGAUGCCAUGUCCACUAGGCUACCCUGGA